GACGAACGCUGGCGGCGUGCUUAACACAUGCAAGUCGAGCGGUAAGGCCCUUUCGGGGGUACACGAGCGGCGAACGGGUGAGUAACACGUGGGUGACCUGCCCUCAGCUCUGGGAUAAGCCUGGGAAACCGGGUCUAAUACUGGAUAUGACUCCAUGACGCAUGUUGUGGGGUGGAAAGCCUUGUGCGGCUGAGGAUGGGCCCGCGGCCUAUCAGCUUGUUGGUGGGGUGAUGGCCUACCAAGGCGACGACGGGUAGCCGGCCUGAGAGGGCGACCGGCCACACUGGGACUGAGACACGGCCCAGACUCCUACGGGAGGCAGCAGUGGGGAAUAUUGGACAAUGGGCGCAAGCCUGAUCCAGCGAUGCCGCGUGUGUGAAGAAGGCCUGCGGGUGUAAGCACUUUCAGUAGGGAAGAAAAGCCGAGUGCUAAUAUCACUCGGUCUUG
rnacentral:rRNA from 1 species